rnacentral:rRNA from 1 species
AGUGAACGCUGGCGGUAGGCCUAACACAUGCAAGUCGAACGGCAGCACAGUAAGAGCUUGCUCUUACGGGUGGCGAGUGGCGGACGGGUGAGGAAUACAUCGGAAUCUACUUUUUCGUGGGGGAUAACGUAGGGGAACUUACGCUAAUACCGCAUACGACCUACGGGUGAAAGCAGGGGAUCUUCGGACCUUGCGCGAAUGAAUGAGCCGAUGUCGGAUUAGCUAGUUGGCGGGGUAAAGGCCCACCAAGGCGACGAUCCGUAGCUGGUCUGAGAGGAUGAUCAGCCACACUGGAACUGAGACACGGUCCAGACUCCUACGGGAGGCAGCAGUGGGGAAUAUUGGACAAUGGGCGCAAGCCUGAUCCAGCCAUACCGCGUGGGUGAAGAAGGCCUUCGGGUUGUAAAGCCCUUUUGUUGGGAAAGAAAAGCAGCAGGUUAAUACCCCGCUGUUCUGACGGUACCCAAAGAAUAAGCACCGGCUAACUUCGUG